rnacentral:misc_RNA from 1 species
AAAGUCGUAACAAGGUUUCCGUAGGUGAACCUGCGGAAGGAUCAUUACCGAAUCGUCGACACGAGUUGUUGCUGGUCCUCAAAUGGGGGCAUGUGCACGCUCUGUUUACACAUCCACUCACACCUGUGCACCCUCUGUAGUUCUGUGGCCUGGGCGACUCUGUCCCCUUGCCGCGGUUCUGCGUCUUUACACACACGCCGUAACAAAGUCUUGUGGAAUGUGCAUCGCGUUUAACGCAAUACAAUACAACUUUCAGCAACGGAUCUCUUGGCUCUC